ACUUAAAUAGCUUAUAUAGAGUAUAAUAUUGAAGAUAUUAAGGAAAUAAAUUUAUUUUUAAGUA
rnacentral:tRNA from 1 species